ACCUGUUCAGCCUUGGGCUUGAUUUAAUAGGGAAGAGCAGAUAAAUUCAGUGUGAGAUUACUGCUGAAUCACUCACAAGGUUUCUGCAGUCUUUUAUGGAUGCAUAUGCAUAAUUUUUGAAUGAGACCAAAUUAAGAAGAAAGUGGGAGAAGGUUUGAGCCAUCUUUCAACACUGAGCUAUCUAGAUUUCUAGAUAAUGUCUGGGACACAAGAGAAUGUAGUGUGAAGGACUCUGCACAGCAUUGCCACAAGCUGUCAACAGCAGGAGAGAGGGAUUUGGCAGUGAUCCCACAACCUAGCUGGGGAGCUGAAUGUUCAAGACCUAUUAAGAGUCUGGUGCAGCCAAGGCAGAGGUGGUGACCACCAGGAUGAAGACAGAGCCAUCUCUUCUGCUCUUGCAUCCGUUUAAAGUGUCUUUGACCAGUUACUCCUGCUAGCUGACUUUUUUUUAACCACAGAAGCACACUCAGCAGAAACUUUUACUGCACCUAGAACACUGAUUUUUAAUUGCCUGCUUAUUAUUAACUUCAUCUAAAUGGUCAUUGUUCAACUUGUCAGCAAAAAUUUCCUGUGGCAAGGAAGUGGAAAGCAGUUGGCUGCUCUCUGGAAGUCUUUGAUAUUUAUAAAACCUGACCUGGAUUUUCCAACUAAGUUGGCUGAAAAAUAUUUUCCAUUUCCCAAGAGGAGUUUCAUUGUAUUUGAUAACCACAUUUAGGACUUCCUCUAAAGUAUCCUUGAUUGAAAAGCAUCUGCAAAUAAAUCUGUGUCCCCAGAAAGAGUUUAAGAUUGCCUUAACCUUCUUUUAAGUGCAAAGAUUAAUGAGACCAUCAGAGAUCACACAGGAUACAGAAUUCAGUCCCUACAAAGGAAGAUGUGAUGAUGGACUAUAUCUCUCCUACAACUGCCCUGCAGUGCUUUGCAGCCCUUUCCAGCUUGUUGCAAAUGGCAUUUAGGAUCAGCCAUCCAUAAAUCACCAAUACCAUCAAAAGCCCAUGAAAACAUCGAUUUGCUCACCAUGAAAAUUUCUAAGCUUUGCUGUAAGGCAGGGUCAGAAUGUUCUGGUUUUAAUAAAUAAGCAUUGAGUAAAAGAGAAGUUUUCACUUCUUGUUCAGUAUUAGUUACAGAAAACACCUUUUCUGCCCCUUUCCUGUUUGAAAAUUCUCACUUGUACAUUUGCUCUGGA